AGAGUUUGAUCCUGGCUCAGGAUGAACGCUAGCGGCAGGCUUAACACAUGCAAGUCGAGGGGCAGCGCGGUGUAGCAAUACACUGGCGGCGACCGGCGGAAGGGUGCGUAACGCGUGAGCAACUUGCCCGCAUCAGGGGGAUAAUCGCUGGAAACGGCGUCUAAUACCCCGUAACAACAGUGAGCGCAUGCUCGUUGUUUGAAAGCUUAUUGCGGAUGCGGAUGGGCUCGCGUGACAUUAGCUAGUCGGCGGGGUAACGGCCCACCGAGGCGACGAUGUCUAGGGGUUCUGAGAGGAAGGUCCCCCACACUGGAACUGAGACACGGUCCAGACUCCUACGGGAGGCAGCAGUGAGGAAUAUUGGUCAAUGGCCGGAAGGCUGAACCAGCCAUGCCGCGUGCAGGAAUGAGGCCCUAUGGGUCGUAAACUGCUUUUGUGGCGGAGCAAUAAGGUGUACGUGUACACCGAUGAGAGUACGUCACGAAUAAGCAUCGGCUAACUCCGUGCCAGCAGCCGCGGUAAUACGGAGGAUGCGAGCGUUAUCCGGAUUUAUUGGGUUUAAAGGGUGCGUAGGCUGGCGCUCAAGUCAGGGGUGAAAUCCCGGAGCCUAACUCCGGAACUGCCCUUGAUACUGUGUGUCUUGAAUUCGGAUGCCGUGGGAGGAAUGAGUAGUGUAGCGGUGAAAUGCAUAGAUAUUACUCAGAACACCGAUUGCGAAGGCAUCUCACGAAUCCGAGAUUGACGCUGAGGCACGAAAGCGUGGGGAUCAAACAGGAUUAGAUACCCUGGUAGUCCACGCAGUAAACGAUGAUGACUAACCGUCGGCGAUAGAAUGUCGGUGGCCAAGCGAAAGCGAUAAGUCAUCCACCUGGGGAGUACGACCGCAAGGUUGAAACUCAAAGGAAUUGACGGGGGCCCGCACAAGCGGAGGAACAUGUGGUUUAAUUCGAUGAUACGCGAGGAACCUUACCCGGGCUCGAACGGUGCAGGAAGGAUCAAGAGAUUGUGACGCCCUUCGGGGCCUGCAUCGAGGUGCUGCAUGGUUGUCGUCAGCUCGUGUCGUGAGAUGUUGGCUCAAGUGCCAUAACGAGCGCAACCCUUGCCGCCAGUUACCAUCAAGUGAAGUUGGGGACUCUGGCGGGACUGCCACCGCAAGGUGUGAGGAAGGCGGGGAUGACGUCAAAUCAGCACGGCCCUUACGUCCGGGGCGACACACGUGUUACAAUGGGGGUUACAGAAGGGCGCUACCUGGCGACAGGACGCGGAUCCCGAAAAGCCCCCUCAGUUCGGAUCGGAGUCUGCAACCCGACUCCGUGAAGCUGGAUUCGCUAGUAAUCGCGCAUCAGCCAUGGCGCGGUGAAUACGUUCCCGGGCCUUGUACACACCGCCCGUCAAGCCAUGAAAGCCGGGGGCGCCUGAAGUCCGUGACCGAGAGGAGCGGCCUAGGGUGAAACUGGUAAUUGGGGCUAAGUCGUAACAAGGUAGCCGUACCGGAAGGUGUGGCUGGAACACCUCCUU
rnacentral:rRNA from 1 species